GGCCGAGUGGCGGAACUGGCAGACGCAAGGGACUUAAAAUCCUUUGGACCUAACGGUCCGUGCGGGUUCGACCCCCGCCUCGGCCACCA
rnacentral:tRNA from 1 species